GAUGAACGCUGGCGGCGUGCCUAAUACAUGCAAGUCGAGCGAACGGACGAGAAGCUUGCUCCUCUGAUGUUAGCGGCGGACGGGUGAGUAACACGUGGAUAACCUACCUAUAAGACGGGGAUAACUUCGGGAAACUGGAGAUAAUACCGGAUAAUAUUUUGAACCGCAUGGUUCAAAAGUGAAAGACGGUCUUGCUGUCACUUAUAGAUGGAUCCGCGCUGCAUUAGCUAGUUGGUAAGGUAACGGCUUACCAAGGCAACGAUGCAUAGCCGACCUGAGAGGGUGAUCGGCCACACUGGAACUGAGACACGGUCCAGACUCCUACGGGAGGCAGCAGUAGGGAAUCUUCCGCAAUGGGCGAAAGCCUGACGGAGCAACGCCGCGUGAGUGAUGAAGGUCUUCGGAUCGUAAAGCUCUUUUAUUAGGGAAGAACAUAUGUGUAAGUAACUGUGCACAUCUUGACGGUACCUAAUCAGAAAGCCACGGCUAACUACGUG
rnacentral:rRNA from 1 species